rnacentral:lncRNA from 1 species
GCCUCGCACGGCCUCGCACGACUGCGCACGGCUGCAUCGCACCGACACCUUGCACCGACACCUCGCACGGCCUCGCACGGCUGCAUUGCAUGGCCACUGCGCGCCGACACCUCGCACGGCCUCGCACGGCCUCGCACGACUGCGCACGGCUGCAUUGCACAGCUGCAUCGCACGGCUGCUGCGCACCGACACCGCGCACGGCCUUGCACGACUGCGCACAACUGCGCACAACUGCGCAUGGCUGCAUCGCACCGACACCUUGCACCGACACCUCGCACGGCCUCACACGACUGCGCACGGCUGCACACGGCCUCACACGGCCACGUCACACGGACACAUUGCACAGACUCAUUGCACAGACGCAUUGCACGGCCUUGCACGACCGUGCACGACUGCGCACAGCUGCAUCGCACAGCCACCACACACAGACACCUUGCACGGCCUCACACGACUGCGCACGGCUGCACACGGCCUCACACGGCCACGUCACACGGACACAUUGCACAGACUCAUUGCACAGACACAUUGCACGGCUGCGCACGACUGCGCACAGCCUCGCACGGCCUCACACGACUGCGCACGGCCUCGCACGGCCACGCACAGCAUUGCACGGCCUCGCACAGCUGCACGCCACAUUGCACGGGCUUGCACGACCGCACGCCUGCGCGCAGGCUCGCACAGCUGUGCACGACGGCACACAAGCAUGCACACGCUCGCACGCGCUUGCACGGCCUCGCACGGCUGCUCGCGGCCUCGCACGACGGCGCUCGGCCUCGCACGACUGCGCACGGCCGUUCACAGCCGCGCACACGGGGCACGUUCGGCUCCGCGCGGCCUGCUCGCACGGGGAUUUGCACGAGGGCUGUAAGGCUCGCGCACGGGCGGGAGGCCUGGCACGGGCCCUCGCACGGGGCCGAACGCUGCCGGCGCCGCGCAGAGAACGGGCAGUGGGAGAUCUGCCACCGCGCGGGCCGGCACCACGCGCCGCCGGGGGAGGCCGCGCACGAGGACGUCACCUUCUACCUCGUCAUCCGCCGCAAGCCGCUCUUCUACAUCGCCAACGUCCUCGUGCCCUGCGUGCUCAUCACCGUGCUCGCCGUCAGCGUCUUCUACCUGCCCCCCGACGCCGGUGCGCGCCCCCCCCCGCACGAGGGUUCGCACGAGGGCUCGCACGGGGAGCUGGGCUUGCACGGGGAGCUGGGCUUGCACGGGGGCUUGGGAUUCGCAUGGGGCCUUGCAGAGGGAACUGUGGCCUGCACGGGGGGGGGUCCGCAGGGCCUUGCACGAGGAGCUGGGGUUCGCACGGGGGCUUGCGCGGGGAAUCAGGGCUUGCACAGGGCAGGAGGCCUUGCACGGGGAAUCACAGCUUGCACGGGGGCUUGCACGAGGAGCCGGGCCUUGCACAGGGCCUUGCACAGGGAAUCGUGGCUU